UACGUAGGGGGCUAGCGUUGUCCGGAAUCAUUGGGCGUAAAGAGCGUGUAGGCGGUCCGGUAAGUCCGCUGUGAAAGUCGGGGGCUCAACCCUCGAAUGCCGGUGGAUACUGUCGAGCUCGAGUCCGGAAGAGGCGAGUGGAAUUCCUGGUGUAGCGGUGAAAUGCGCAGAUAUCAGGAGGAACACCAAUGGCGAAGGCAGCUCGCUGGGACGUGACUGACGCUGAGACGCGAAAGCGUGGGGAGCAAACAGGAUUAGAUAC
rnacentral:rRNA from 1 species